rnacentral:lncRNA from 1 species
GCACAUACUUACUUCAUUUCAGGUUAUUAAAUUGUGUUAAGCAUUAAAGUUAUUUGCCAUUCUUUGCCGCAACUCAUUUGUUCUUUUCAAUUCUAAGAAAUAUUAGAAGGUUAAAUAACUUAUCACAUAGGAGGGAUUAAUCAUGCUACCAAAAUUAGAAUGUGUGUAAUUCUGAGGGACUGAAUGUCAAAAUUGUAUGCUCAUAGCACUAAAACCACUGGGAAUCUAGGAUGCCACUAGAACAUGUAAAAUGGCAGCUAAGGUCUGUGCAAUCCCUUCAUGUUUAGAAACUGGCUAAAGCUUGAGUUCUCUUAUCUUUCGGUUAAGGUAAGGACAUUUAUCAUUUAUGUGAAUGUUUUAGACUAAUUUCUUUAUUAGUGGUUUGAGAAAUAUUCCUUUUGAGGAAAAUAGAGAGGCAAGCAAUAUUCAUUAAUAUAUCUGACAUAAAUAAAAUAGUUAAGAUAUAUAAAGCAGCCCAAGGAGUAACAUCCUUAGCUAAAGCAUUCUGAACUUCUGCCUUAAUAAUUAUGAUUUCUUAAGUGGAGUUAAAAAGAGUUGUACGGAGUACCUGUUCUACCAUAUUAUUGCUGUUUAUAGGAGUUGGGUGUGAUAGAAAAGGAAAGCUGGGUCAAAAUAAAAAAUGCUUUGUAAAAUAAACAAAGUUCCUAUUUACUUAUUAUGUAUAAACAGCCACUCACCAAGCCUCAUUUCUCCACAGGGCACCACUUUCAGAUAAAAACAUAGACCUGAAUGGCAUCAUCCAGUAUCCAAGGAAACCAUGCUUGCUUGAAGAGUGAGCAAGUGAGCAAAGAGACAAGAUUACAUGUUUAAACUGAGAAAAGAAUCUUGAAAAUGAUCUGUCUAGGGAUGCCAGCAAGUGCUCUCAAGAGAAAAUGUAUUCUGUUUCAUCCAGGUUCUCUAAACAUGAGCAUGCCUUUGGGGGAAGACAGAGAAGCAUGGAAGCUAUGUGAAAAAACAAACGGAUCCUAAGGACCUGGACACUUUGAACCUCUCAGGACCUCUCAGAUUCUAGCACAUAAACUCGGAGCCAAAUUCACAGCCAGCUCUCCUUCAAACUGC